rnacentral:rRNA from 1 species
CCUACGGGAGGCAGCAGUGGGGAAUUUUGGACAAUGGGCGAAAGCCUGAUCCAGCCAUGCCGCGUGAGUGAUGAAGGCCCUAGGGUUGUAAAGCUCUUUUGUGCGGGAAGAUAAUGACGGUACCGCAAGAAUAAGCCCCGGCUAACUUCGUGCCAGCAGCCGCGGUAAU